UCAAUUUCCCGACGAAUGCAAAUUUCACUUCCUUCGCCCUCCCCCCAAAAAAAUUUAAAAGUCCCUCUGGGGAAGAGAGUCUUCUUAAAAUGUUGUCGUCGCAAGCCAAGCAAAUGUACAAUUCGCAAUUUAGAAACACGUACGUGGCGUGAACGAGAGGAAAUAGUUCCUUGUACAUACCUAAAGAAUUUGAUAAAUUUGUUCGUUGUACAUUUAGCUGGAUUUUGCAUAAAGUAAACAUACGAUUUAAAAUUGCGCUCAACUUGGAAAUUGUGUUUUUUUUUUUAUUUACGGUAUAGAAUCCUCUACAGGAUUAUUAGCAGCAUGCACAUUGCUGUGCAUACUAACAGUGCAGAAACAAUUUCGCAGACUUUUGUACACUGAUAUACAACUAAGAUACAUGUUUGCUAUUUACAUACUUAUAACUAGAGCUUACAAUUAAAACUAAGAGAACUGUUAAGUGACUGAAAAACACAGCCAAGCACUCGACAUAGAUCCGUUACAGAUGCCAAUCAUGGCUUUUGAGAAAUUUGUGAAUAAUCAACAGAGGAGUAAUAUGUGGUUUGCUUAAAAAGAAGUCCAUUGUGUGGGGAGGAAAAUAACCCAUUCCACAUAGUUUAAUUAAGACAUUCCUAUUGUCAUUGAGAUUGGGGCACUGCCAAAUUAUAUAGUUGAGAUCUUGAACUGCCACAUUGACAUUUUGCAUCAAGAGCUAAAUUAAUUUUGAAGAGGGAAGCAGCUAAUUGCACGUGAUCUGCUCGGAGUCUGUUCGUCCAGCAAAUAAAGUUUCUAGGGAGUUUUCUACGUGAAAACUAUGGUUUAGUAGAAGGAUGGUAGUAGCUUUUGAAGAAUUUUUUACCCUUAAAUUCAGAUUCCGAGAUAUUCUGUCUUUCUGUUUCCGUCUUAGCCUGCUUCUUAAAGCUAAGGGAAAAAUCAGAAAAUGGAACCAAUAUGUCUGGCGAGAUAUUAGUACAUGACGCUUUUUUAGCUAAACUGUCCGCUUUUUCGUUAAAAGUAAUACCAAUGUGAGAGGGAAUCCAGUAAAAAUAUAGUUUUUUAUUGCCUGAAGAGUAGCGGUUUAUAAGCCUUCAAAUAUCGAGAAUAAAUGGCCAUGCUCCUCACCUGAGCACGCCUCUAAAAUUCUGAUGCCCCAUAUACUCCAUAACGACACGUAACUCUUAUUAUUCAAAAACUGAAUUCUUCUUGACCUGGCCCAAGGAAGCCUGAAACAAGCCUAAAACGAGCUUCCAAAGAACGUGACAUCCGUGAAA